rnacentral:pre_miRNA from 1 species
ACUAGCACAUACCCAUCUAAACCUUGGUCUGUAAUGCAUCUUGAGGUUCCGAAAUUCAAGGAUGCAUAUCGGGAGUUCACACAAAUGACUGAUGUAUCAAAUAAUAUGACUUGAGCUUCCCAACCUUGAGACGCAUUUCGGACUUGGUUUUAGAUGGGUGUGUGCUGGU